rnacentral:rRNA from 1 species
UACGUAGGUGGCAAGCGUUGUCCGGAUUUACUGGGCGUAAAGAGCGCGCAGGCGGUCGUUCAAGUCGCGUGUGAAAGCCCCCGGCUCAACUGGGGAGGGUCACGCGAUACUGAUCGACUCGAAGGCAGGAGAGGGAAGUGGAAUUCCCGGUGUAGUGGUGAAAUGCGUAGAUACCGGGAGGAACACCAGUGGCGAAGGCGACUUCCUGGCCUGUUCUUGACGCUGAGGCGCGAAAGCUAGGGGAGCAAACGGG